GUCUAUGGCCAUGCCACCCUGAACAAGCCCGAUUCCAUCUGAUCUCAGAAGCUAAGCAGGGUCAAGCCUGGUUAGUACUUGGAUGGGAGACUACCCAUAAAUAAUAAUAAUAAUAAAGG
rnacentral:rRNA from 1 species